rnacentral:rRNA from 1 species
GCGUUAUUCGGAAUUACUGGGCGUAAAGGGCUCGUAGGCGGCCAACUAAGUCGGACGUGAAAUCCCCAGGCUCAACCUGGGAACUGCGUCCGAUACUGGAUGGCUUGAAUCCGGGAGAGGGAUGCAGAAUUCCAGGUGUAGCGGUGAAAUGCGUAGAUAUCUGGAGGAAUACCGGUGGCGAAGGCGCCUUCCUGGCCUGUUCCUGACGCUGAGGCGCGAAAGCUAGGGGAGCAAACGGG